CCUACGGGAGGCAGCAGUGGGGAAUAUUGCACAAUGGGGGAAACCCUGAUGCAGCAACGCCGCGUGAGUGAGGAAGUAUUUCGGUAUGUAAAGCUCUAUCAGCAGGGAAGAAAAUGACGGUACCUGAGUAAGAAGCCCCGGCUAACUACGUGCCAGCAGCCGCGGUAAUACGUAGGGGGCAAGCGUUAUCCGGAUUUACUGGGUGUAAAGGGAGCGUAGACGGCAGUGCAAGUCUGGAGUGAAAGGCGGGGGCUCAACCCCCGGACUGCUCUGGAAACUGUACGGCUGGAGUGCAGGAGAGGUAAGUGGAAUUCCUAGUGUAGCGGUGAAAUGCGUAGAGAUUAGGAGGAACACCAGUGGCGAAGGCGGCUUACUGGACUGUAACUGACGUUGAGGCUCGAAAGCGUGGGGAGCAAACAGGAUUAGAUACCCCAGUAGUC
rnacentral:rRNA from 1 species